rnacentral:rRNA from 1 species
GCUCAGGAUGAACGCUGGCGGCGUGCCUAAUACAUGCAAGUCGAGCGAACAGAUAAGGAGCUUGCUCCUUUGACGUUAGCGGCGGACGGGUGAGUAACACGUGGGUAACCUACCUAUAAGACUGGAAUAACUCCGGGAAACCGGGGCUAAUGCCGGAUAAUAUUUAGAACCGCAUGGUUCUAAAGUGAAAGAUGGUUUUACUAUCACUUAUAGAUGGACCCGCGCCGUAUUAGCUAGUUGGUGGGGUAAUGGCUUACCAAGGCAACGAUACGUAGCCGACCUGAGAGGGUGAUCGGCCACACUGGAACUGAGACACGGUCCAGACUCCUACGGGAGGCAGCAGUAGGGAAUCUUCCGCAAUGGGCGAAAGCCUGACGGAGCAACGCCGCGUGAGUGAUGAAGGUCUUCGGAUCGUAAAACUCUGUUAUUAGGGAAGAACAAAUGUGUAAGUAACUGUGCACGUCUUGACGGUACCUAAUCAGAAAGCCACGGCUAACUACGUGCCAGCAGCCGCGGUAAUACGUAGG